GCCCCUUUAGCUCAGUGGAUAGAGCAUCGGCCUCCGGAGCCGAGUGCAGGCGUUCGAGUCGCCUAAGGGGCACCA
rnacentral:tRNA from 1 species